rnacentral:rRNA from 1 species
AUGAACGCUGGCGGCGUGCCUAAUACAUGCAAGUCGAGCGAACAGACGAGGAGCUUGCUCCUCUGACGUUAGCGGCGGACGGGUGAGUAACACGUGGAUAACCUACCUAUAAGACUGGGAUAACUUCGGGAAACCGGAGCUAAUACCGGAUAAUAUAUUGAACCGCAUGGUUCAAUAGUGAAAGACGGUUUUGCUGUCACUUAUAGAUGGAUCCGCGCCGCAUUAGCUAGUUGGUAAGGUAACGGCUUACCAAGGCGACGAUGCGUAGCCGACCUGAGAGGGUGAUCGGCCACACUGGAACUGAGACACGGUCCAGACUCCUACGGGAGGCAGCAGUAGGAAAUCUUCCGCAAUGGGCGAAAGCCUGACGGAGCAACGCCGCGUGAGUGAUGAAGGUCUUCGGAUCGUAAAACUCUGUUAUUAGGGAAGAACAAAUGUGUAAGUAACUAUGCACGUCUUGACGGUACCUAAUCAGAAAGCCACGGCUAACUACGUG